rnacentral:tRNA from 1 species
UCCCUGGUGGUCCAGUAGCUAAGACUCCACACUCCCAAUGCAGGGGCCUGGGUUCAACUCCUGGUCAGGGAA